CCUACGGGUGGCAGCAGUGAGGAAUAUUGGUCAAUGGACGAGAGUCUGAACCAGCCAAGUAGCGUGAAGGAUGACUGCCCUAUGGGUUGUAAACUUCUUUUAUAUGGGAAUAAAAUGUUCCACGUGUGGGAUUUUGUAUGUACCAUAUGAAUAAGGAUCGGCUAACUCCGUGCCAGCAGCCGCGGUAAUACGGAGGAUCCGAGCGUUAUCCGGAUUUAUUGGGUUUAAAGGGUGCGUAGGCGGUUUGUUAAGUCAGUUGUGAAAUUUUGCGGCUCAACCGUAAAAUUGCAGUUGAAACUGGCAGUCUUGAGUACAGUAGAGGUAGGCGGAAUGCGUGGUGUAGCGGUGAAAUGCUUAGAUAUCACGAAGAACUCCGAUUGCGAAGGCAGCUCACUGGACUGAGACUGACGCUGAGGCUCGAAAGUGUGGGUAUCAAACAGGAUUAGAUACCCUUGUAGUC
rnacentral:rRNA from 1 species